rnacentral:rRNA from 1 species
CGGUUGAUCCUGCCGGACCCUACUGCUAUCGGGGUGGGACUAAGACAUGCGAGUUGAGCGUCUCUAAGCUAUGGUAGAGACGCGGCGUACGGCUCAGUAACACGUGGCUAACCUACCCUUAGGACGGGGACAACCCCGGGAAACUGGGGCUAAUACCCGAUAGGCGAGGAGGCCUGGAAUGGUUCCUAGUCGAAAAGGCGUUGAAACCAUGCUUUUCGACGUCGCCUAAGGAUGGGGCCGCGCCCGAUCAGGUUGUUGGUGGGGUAACGGCUCACCAAGCCUAUAACCGGUACGGGCCGUGAGAGCGGGAGCCCGGAGAUGGGCACUGAGACAAGGGCCCAGGCCCUACGGGGCGCAGCAGUCGCGAAAACUCCGCAAUGCGCGAAAGCGUGACGGGGCUACCCCGAGUGCCGUCCGCUGAGGAUGGCUUUUCCCCGGUGUAAUGAGCCGGGGGAAUAAGGAGAGGGCAAGUCUGGUGUCAGCCGCCGCGGUAAUACCAGCUCUCCGAGUGGUAGGGAUGAUUAUUGGGCUUAAAGCGUCCGUAGCCGGCUUAGCAAGUCUCCUGUUAAAUUCAGCGACCUAAUCGUUGAGCCGCGGGAGAUACUACUAGGCUAGGAGGCGGGAGAGGCCGACGGUAUUCUCGGGGUGGGGGUGAAAUCCUAUAAUCCCGGGAGGACCACCAGUGGCGAAGGCUGUCGGCUAGAACGCGCUCGACGGUGAGGGACGAAAGCUGGGGGAGCGAACCGGAUUAGAUACCCGGGUAGUCCCAGCUGUAAACGAUGCGGGCUAGGUGUUGGGGUGGCUACGAGCCACUUCAGUGCCGCAGGGAAGCCAUUAAGCCCGCCGCCUGGGGAGUACGGCCGCAAGGCUGAAACUUAAAGGAAUUGGCGGGGGAGCAC